rnacentral:rRNA from 1 species
GAUGAACGCUGGCGGCGUGCCUAAUACAUGCAAGUCGAACGAAACUUCUUUAUCACCGAGUGCUUGCACUCACCGAUAAAGGGUUGAGUGGCGAACGGGUGAGUAACACGUGGGCAACCUGCCCCAAAGAGGGGGAUAACACUUGGAAACAGGUGCUAAUACCGCAUAACCAUAGUUACCGCAUGGUAACUAUGUAAAAGGUGGCUAUACUACCGCUUUUGGAUGGGCCCGCGGCGCAUUAGCUAGUUGGUAGGGUAAAGGCUUACCAAGGCAAUGAUGCGUAGCCGAAUUGAGAGGUUGAUCGGCCACAUUGGGACUGAGACACGGCCCAAACUCCUACGGGAGGCAGCAGUAGGGAAUCUUCCACAAUGGGCGAAAGCCUGAUGGAGCAACGCCGCGUGGGUGAAGAAGGUCUUCGGAUCGUAAAACCCUGUUGUUAGAGAAGAAAGUGCGUGAGAGUAACUGUUCACGUUUCGACGGUAUCUAACCAGAAAGCCACGGCUAACUACGUG